GACGAACGCUGGCGGCGUGCCUAAUACAUGCAAGUAGAACGCUGAAGGAAGGAGCUUGCUCUUUCCGGAUGAGUUGCGAACGGGUGAGUAACGCGUAGGUAACCUGCCUGGUAGCGGGGGAUAACUAUUGGAAACGAUAGCUAAUACCGCAUAACAGUAGAUGUUGCAUGAUAUCUACUUAAAAGGUGCAAUUGCACCACUACCAGAUGGACCUGCGUUGUAUUAGCUAGUUGGUGAGGUAACGGCUCACCAAGGCGACGAUACAUAGCCGACCUGAGAGGGUGAUCGGCCACACUGGGACUGAGACACGGCCCAGACUCCUACGGGAGGCAGCAGUAGGGAAUCUUCGGCAAUGGACGGAAGUCUGACCGAGCAACGCCGCGUGAGGGAAGAAGGUUUUCGGAUCGUAAAGCUCUGUUGUAAGAGAAGAACGAGUGUGAGAGUGGAAAGUUCACACUGUGACGGUAUCUUACCAGAAAGGGACGGCUAACUACGUG
rnacentral:rRNA from 1 species